GACGAACGCUGGCGGCGUGCUUAACACAUGCAAGUCGAACGGUGAAGCGCCUUCCUUUUUGGUGUGUGGGUAGGGGUGGCGAACUGGUUAGUAACACGUUAGUAACCUUCCCCCUUCUGCUGGAUAACCGCAUGAAAGUGUUGCUAAUACGUGAUAUUCUGGGUCUGUCGCAUGAUUGGUGUGGGACAGAUUUUGUGUCGGUGGUGGAUGGGCUCGCGGCCUAUCAGCUUGUUGGUGGGGUGAUGGCCUACCAAGGCGAUGACGGGUAGCCGGCCUGAGAGGGUCGACGGUCACAGUGCGAAUGCGCGGCGGAGAAGACUACUACGGGAGGCAGUAGGGGAGAAUCUUGAACGGUGGGAGGCCGGAUGGUGCAGCGACGCCGCGUGAGGGAUGGAGGCCGGAGCGUUGUGAACCUCUUUCGCCAGUGAAGCAGGCUUGACUUGUUUGUGCGCGGCUUGACGGUAGCUGGACAAGAAGCGACGGCUAACUACGUG
rnacentral:rRNA from 1 species